rnacentral:hammerhead_ribozyme from 1 species
AUCCAACCAACGAGUCUUAAAUAAGACUAAACGCGAGUCUUGGAU